GACGAACGCUGGCGGCGUGCUUAACACAUGCAAGUCGAACGGAAAGGCCCUGCUUUUGUGGGGUGCUCGAGUGGCGAACGGGUGAGUAACACGUGAGUAACCUGCCCUUGACUUUGGGAUAACUUCAGGAAACUGGGGCUAAUCCCGGAUAGGAGCUCCUGCCGCAUGGUGGGGGUUGGAAAGUUUCGGCGGUUGGGGAUGGACUCGCGGCUUAUCAGCUUGUUGGUUGGGUAGUGGCUUACCAAGGCCUUGACGGGUAGCCGGGCUGAGAGGGGGACCGGCCACAUUGGGACUGAGAUGCGGCCCAGACUCCUACGGGAGGCAGCAGUGGGGAAUAUUGCACUAUGGGCGGAAGCCUGAUGCAGCAACGCCGCGUGGGGGAUGACGGGCUUCGGGUUGUAAACCGCUUUCGCCUGUGACGAAGCGUGAGUGACGGUAAUGGGUAAAGAAGCACCGGCUAACUACGUG
rnacentral:rRNA from 1 species